CUCCAUAUGAGUGAUACAUCAUCA
rnacentral:siRNA from 1 species